UACGGAGGGUGCAAGCGUUGUCCGGAAUCACUGGGCGUAAAGGGCGCGUAGGCGGCUCAUGAAGGCUGUGGUGAAAGUCCGGGGCUCAACCUCGGAUCGGCCGUGGCGACUCGUGGGCUGGAGCACUGUAGAGGCGGGUGGAAUUCCGGGUGUAGCGGUGAAAUGCGUAGAUAUUGGGAGGAACACCGGUGGCGAAGGCAGGUCUCUGGGCCGAUACUGACGCUGAGGAGCGAAAGCGUGGGGAGCGAACAGG
rnacentral:rRNA from 1 species